AGGCGCUAGUGGACCGGACAUUAAGACGUCUUUACCUCUCACAUUCACCAGCAGAAAGGCCAUGUAUUUUCCCUCCCAUCAACCCUGCUACUCAAAGCAAAGAGAGGGGAGACCCAGCCAAGCUCCCCCUCCAGGAGCACCAGAGGAAAGUGGAGGACAACAAGUGUCUACUUGAGGAGCUGGCGCGUAUGGAGCAGGAGCUGAUAGACCGUCUUGGCAGGGAGGUGGCG